GCUUCGGCCAUACCACUCUGAACACGCCCGAUCUCGUCCGAUCUCGGAAGCUAAGCAGGGUCGGGCCUGGUUAGUACUUGGAUGGGAGACCGCCUGGGAAUACCAGGUGCUGUAAGCU
rnacentral:rRNA from 15 species